rnacentral:sRNA from 1 species
AUGCACUCAGUCACGGGCAUCAUCGUGGGUGUCUGCCUGGGCCUCCUCUGCCUCCUGGCCUGCAUGUGUGCUGGCCUGCGCCGCAGCGCCCACAGGGAAUCCCUCCCAGGCCUGUCCUCCACCGCCACCCCCGGGAAUCCCGCGCUGUACUCCAGAGCUCGGCUUGGCCCCCCUAGCCCCCCAGCUGCCCAUGAAUUGGAGUCCCUUGUGCACCCCCAUCCCCAGGACUGGUCCCCGCCACCCUCAGACGUGGAGGACAGGGCUGAAGUGCACAGCCUUAUGGGUGGCGGUGUUUCUGAAGGCCGGAGUCACUCCAAAAGAAAGGUAAGUCAGAGCCCCACAUUGCGGCUCAUUUCUAAAUAGGACACCAGGGGGCGACAGAGCACAACGCGUGGCUAUGCGAGCAUGGCUCUACCUCCUCUUCGGAGCCGGCUGCGGACGCUAGGGCCUCUCUCCCUCCUCCACGGAAUGGUUGGCUGUCAGGGAAGCACAUGGGCCUCCAUAUCCCGGCGGAAUAGGUCAGCUUGGUUCUCACGAAG